ensembl:lncRNA
CCCCAGCUCAGGGGUUACCGGCAUUCACCACCAUACUGGCAGCCCAUCUUUCCCACAUGGUGAGGAGCAGAAGCCUGGCUUCCCUGCUCACUGCUCCGCUUGGAUUUCAUUUAAGCUAGCCUUGCCCCAUGUCAAUCAAUGUCAUGAUUAUUUGAUGCAAACGUCCCCAAAAGAGUUCUAGCUAUCCCAUUGGACAGACAAGGAAAGAGAGGCUCAGUGAAGAGUAACUGCCCAGGAGCACACACAGAAUCCAGAGGGCUCCAGUGUCUGAGGAUGUGGAACCACUUAGAGGGCGUUCCCGGCCAGUCUGGGCAUGGGAAGUCAGGCUGAGACCAAAGAGGUGCACAGAGACACCUGGCAGGGGUGGGGCAGGUCAAGACUGAGUAGGAGCAGAUGCAGGGGUGGUGACUCUGAGGGGACUUUAAUGUCACAGGAUCUAGGUCCACAACAUGGAGUGAGGUCUCAGUCAGGGGUGAUGCCUCUAGGGCCAUGGCUCCACUUCUCUCUGCUUCUCCCUCAUCCCCUUUACCUCAGGUGCCUGGGGUGCUGUCGCCAGCCAAGCUUAACCAGGGCUCCACCAGAACCCAAAAUAGCUACGGCUUCCAGGUGAAAUCAGUGCAGAAGAACACUGUCCCAUUCAUCAAGCUGACUUCUACCUUGUUAUUUCCAGGCAACAUGGCACUGGGGAUGAGAGGAUGAGGGCGCUCUCUCUCUCUCUCUCUCUCUCUCUCUCUCUGUCUCUCUCUCUCUCUCUCUCUGUCUGUGUGUGAGUGUGUAUGCAUGGAUGUGCUGGGUGUGUGUGCAUGUGUUGAGUGUGCAUGUGUGUGUGUUAUAUGCACAUUUGUGAGUAAGUAUGUGUAUUUGUGUGUACAUGUGUGUUUAUAUGUAUAUGAAAGUGUGUGUAUAAGUGUAUUGCUGGGUUUCUGCAACAACUCAUUUCUUUUUCUGAAAAGAUGCAGGAACCUUGGGAACCUCAGAUUGAACUCCCUAUACACACCAACACACACACAUAUACACAUGUAUAUACAUAAACACAUAUACACAAUACACAUACAUAUAUACACAUAUACACAAAACAUACACGUAUAUACACAUAUACACACAUAUAUACACAUAUACACACAUAAACACACACAUAUAUAUACAUACACACAUAUACACAUAUAUACACACAUAUAUACAUACACUUCCCAGCAUCUCCAGCCAGUGGCGCUUAAGCAGAGUUGAUUUCACACUGAGUUCAAGAAAAGUGGUCUGCCUGGCCAGAGCCAAUCACAGGUCAUCUCACUUUCCUACCACAGAGAUCACAGACUUGAGCUGGGAGACUGGGUUUUCCAACAUCUUGUGGCUUUGGGUACCUGGGAGAGGUGAGCCUGGGCUCCCUGCAGCCAGCCGGAGGCUAGGGGAAGUAGCUGUGAUAUGAGAGACUGAGAAUUGAUGGACUUCGUUUGGGCCUGCAUCAAGCCAUAACUGAAGCAAGAGCCUGGUGGAUCGUGGUGUCCUUGAGUCAAACUGUGCGAUUCUCUUUUCAGAAAGCCCCACUCAGCCCACCGUCAGUCGAUGGAAUCCUGAGUGAGAGGUACUGCAGAUGGCCGUGAGGCUUCUGAACAUUCUAGAUCUGGGCUGUGAGUAGCACCCAGCAUGUGGACUUUGAGGACAGAUGUGGGUAUUCUGAGUCAAAGACUUAGGACAGUCGCACACCCAACCUAAGAGGUGACGUCAGUUAGAUGCACAGGGAAUUAGGUCUUCUCACUUGGGGCUUCCUCAAAAGAGACGGUCAUAUACUAUUUCGGCUGUCACCUACGUGGUCAUCAUGUUUUGUGAGUCACCUCAGGUUUUAACAGUCUUGUCUGCAAGCAAGCGAGUGUCACCAGGACUGGUCUCACAUUUAACCCUGGCAAUACACAUUCCCGAGAACGGCUUCUGCCGAAGCUCUCCUGGGAGGAGCCUUGACUGACAGAGCCACAGCCUGUGUGGCCUGCUCAAGAGUUCAGCCUGACUCCUGCAUCCACCCCUGGACCCCCGAUUCAUGAGCUGGCACCUCACGAAUAUGUCAAGGCAGAACCACUUCUUGUGUGUCUUCGAGGCAGAAUUAUAAAUCAACGGACAGAGAAAUGAGCAACUG